rnacentral:lncRNA from 1 species
GUCGAUGUGUGGGUCAAUGUGUGUCCCUCUAUGGGUCCCCCUAUGGUCCCCUAUGGGUCAAUGUGGGUCCCUCUAUGGAUCCGCCUAUGGGUCCCUCUCUGGUCCCCCUAUGGGUCCCCCUAUGGGUCAAUGUGUCCCUCUAUGGGUCCCCCUAUGGGGCAACGUAUGGGUCAGUGUGUGGGUCAAUGCGGGUCUCUCUAUGGUCCCUCUAUGGGUCCCCCUAUGGGUCAAUGUGUGUCCCUCUAUGGGUCCUCCUAUGGGUCAGUGUGUGGGUCCCUCUAUGGGUCACUGUGUGGGUCAAUGUGUGUCCCUCUAUGGGUCCCUCUAUGUGUCCCCCUAUGGGGCAAUGUGUGGGUCAAUGUGUGUCCCUCUAUGGGUCCCUCUAUGGGUCAGUGUGUGGGUCAAUGUGUAUCCCUCUAUGGGUCAAUGUGGGUCCCUCUAUGGGUCCCCCUAUGGGUCAGUGUGUCCCUCUAUGGGUCCCCCUAUGGGUCCCUCUCUGGGUCCCCCUAUGGGUCAGUGUGUGUCCCUCUCUGGGUCCCCUAUGGGUCCCCCUAUGGGUCAAUGUGUGUCCCCCUAUGGGUCCCCCUAUGGAUCAAUGUGUGGGUCAAUGUGUGUCCCUCUAUGUGUCCCCCUAUGGGUCAGUGUGUGGGUCAGUGUGUGGGUCAGUUGUGUGGUCAGUUGUGUGGGUCAGUGUGUGUCCCUCUAUGGGUCCCUCUAUGUGUCCCCCUAUGGGGCAAUGUGUGUCCCUCUAUGGGUCCCCCUAUGGGUCAGUGUGUAGGUCAGUGUGUGGGGUCCCUCUAUGGGUCACUGUGUGGGUCAAUGUGUGUCCCUCUCUGGGUCCCCCUAUGGGUCCCUCUAUGGGUCCCCCUAUGGGUCAAUGUGUGUCCCCCUAUGGGUCCCCCUAUGGGUCCCCCUAUGGGUCAGUGUGUGGGUCAGCGUGUGGGUCAAUGUGUGGGUCAGUGUGUGGGUCAAUGUGUGUCCCUCUAUGUGUCCCCCUAUGGGUCAGUGUGUGGGUCAACGUGUGGGUCAGUGUGUGGGUCAAUGUGUGGGUCACUGCGCGGGGGCCGUCACUCACUGACCCCGGCCCCACGGUGACGCAGGCUUUGGGCCCCAGGCUGAGCACGCGGCCGUCGCAGCGCUGCAGCA